AAUACAACAAUGUAAACAAAUGGGUUUUGGAGGAUGAUACGCAUAGAGGAAAUAUAUUAUCUAGAGUCCCGACCGGUACACGUCCUACCUGAAACACCCUCAAAUUUUAUUCGAGGUGAACUCUCCCAAAUUCGAGGUAAACUCUCUCAGAUUCGCUAUCAGUGAAUACAUGUGAGUGGAGAAAAAAAGCAAAAUGGGGGAUUGGGCAAAAAAGAAACUUAUGGAAUUUUUGUGACCUGUCAAAAAUGACAAUCAAUUUUGCAAAACAAAAGAGUAAGUUUUUGUUAAUUGUUUUGAUUUUUAAUAUAAUUUGAUAUUUUUCAGACCCAAAUUCUUUAUAAUGAAGGGGGUAUAUACAAGUUCACUUCAUUGAAUAAAAAAUAGUGCCAUAAUGAAGGAAGCAAUUUCCCUUGAGUAAUCUGGAAGGCAAACCAAACAAGGCGCUGAUUUGCAGAUACUGCCCAUUGUUUUUGUAUGUACUUCUCAACGGAAUUGAUGCCACAGGCGUUGACGGUGGAGGUGGCACCAUGGAAACCAUUAAAAACAACACCACCAAGUCAAUGAUGCAAGUGGAUGUUUUGCCAUGUAAUAGUCGACCGCUGACGCCCUUCUCCAUCAAUUGUGAAAGUACGUAUCGAAACAUUCAUAUCGUAGUCAACUAGCUUCAUCUUCAUCUUCUAGGUGUAAAGAGUAAUACAAGUCUGCAGUUCUGCAAGAGACGCAAACAAAACAAGAAUGCAAUCGCAGGAAGACUCCAAAAAAUGUGCAACCUUGAAUGUAAGUGAGUUCAAAUUUUAAAUCUACAACGAAUCCAUUCAUUUUGCUCCUAAGGAUUGCACUGGCUUAACGGUGGCAAUCAUUCGGAGGCAAAUGAGCUGGUCCGACAAGAAUCCCCAUAAGAAGCCAAACAGAUUCAGAUCAGUCUCUCGGCAGCUACUGACGAUGUCGGCGAGCUGAAUCCAUUGAUUUUCACACAGAAAAUCAACAUCAAAAAAAUCACCACAAUUCAGUAGCUUCAUGGUCAACCUGCCGAUCAACCAUUCACACUGAAAAACCUCUAUUCGUAGCGGAAGCGAUAUCUGUGUUGUCGACAAUGCGAACACAAUGUCAUCAAGCCGGAGUACCAUCCAGGAUCGAUCAAGUAUCGCAUUCAAUUGUUUGCUAACUACCAUGUGCCCGACGUUCUGCUUGUGCGUUGUGAAAAGCCACUGAAGCCUGGCACGUCCACUGAAUUGUUCCUCAAGCUAACUAACCCAACGAUGUACCAUAUGACCACAACCAUUAUGAAACUGCCAACCAAGGAAGAGGAACGGGGAAUGGUCGACUUCAAAUAAAAGUUACAAAGUAACCAAAGUAAAUAACAAAAAUUGGAGAAAGUCCAAUAAAGUAACCAUAAAAUUGAACUUCACACCUGAAGAAGGACUGAAACCAGGCGAUUAUGCUACCCUUAGUUUCUUGAUGAAAUAUACUUUUGUGAAUACAUACACACGCCCGAAAAAAAAGGACGUCAAAAACACGCAGUUUUUGCAAAAGUUGGUCAAAUUGAAGCCUAUAUUUAUUUCUAUGUAUGUAUAUCUAGAAAAUAAUUUUUUUGCAAACAACUUGUUUAUUUAUUUUGAGCUAUAGUGUAAUUUUGUAUAUAUUGUAUUAUCUACUGUUUCUUUGCUGACUAGGAUUAUUUUUAUUCAAAAUUAUUUAUGAUUUACUUUACUUUAAUAAUAAAGGAAUUUGUUUUGAAUUCAAAGAUGUUGGUGCUUUUUGCUUCAGGGGUUGAAUCAAGUCAAUUUUGAAGAAUAUACAAAAGGUAAUGUACAAAUUGAUCGGAUUAGCCAAUACAAAACAUCCCAUUUUCGGUUGUUUGGGGGCAGCACAACUCAAAAUAGGGCCCACAUAACUAAAAUGUUCGUUGGAAUUUUUAC